UAGCUAGUUGGUGAGGUAAAGGCUUACCAAGGCGACGAUCUGUAGCGGGUCUGAGAGGAUGAUCCGCCACACUGGAACUGAGACACGGUCCAGACUCCUACGGGAGGCAGCAGUGGGGAAUUUUGGACAAUGGGGGCAACCCUGAUCCAGCCAUGCCGCGUGAGUGAAGAAGGCCUUCGGGUUGUAAAGCUCUUUCGGCCGGGAAGAAAUCGCAUGGGCCAAUACCCUGUGUGGAUGACGGUACCGGAAUAAGAAGCACCGGCUAACUACGUGCCAGCAGCCGCGGUAAUACGUAGGGUGCGAGCGUUAAUCGGAAUUACUGGGCGUAAAGCGUGCGCAGGCGGUUUUGUAAGACAGGCGUGAAAUCCCCGGGCUUAACCUGGGAACUGCGUUUGUGACUGCAAGGCUAGAGUACGGCAGAGGGGGGUGGAAUUCCACGUGUAGCAGUGAAAUGCGUAGAGAUGUGGAGGAACACCAAUGGCGAAGGCAGCCCCCUGGGUCGAUACUGACGCUCAUGCACGAAAGCGUGGGUAGCAAACAGGAUUAGAUACCCUGGUAGUCCACGCCCUAAACUAUGUCAACUAGGUGUUGGGUGGGUAAAACCAUUUAGUACCGUAGCUAACGCGUGAAGUUGACCGCCUGGGGAGUACGGCCGCAAGGUUAAAACUCAAAGGAAUUGACGGGGACCCGCACAAGCGGUGGAUGAUGUGGAUUAAUUCGAUGCAACGCGAAAAACCUUACCUACCCUUGACAUGCCAGGAACUUGCCAGAGAUGGCUUGGUGCCCGAAAGGGAGCCUGGACACAGGUGCUGCAUGGCUGUCGUCAGCUCGUGUCGUGAGAUGUUGGGUUAAGUCCCGCAACGAGCGCAACCCUUGUCGUUAAUUGCCAUCAUUUGGUUGGGCACUUUAACGAGACUGCCGGUGACAAACCGGAGGAAGGUGGGGAUGACGUCAAGUCCUCAUGGCCCUUAUGGGUAGGGCUUCACACGUCAUACAAUGGUCGGUACAAAGGGUUGCCAAGCCGCGAGGCGGAGCCAAUCCCAGAAAGCCGAUCGUAGUCCGGAUUGCAGGCUGCAGCUCGCCUGCAUGAAGUCGGAAUCGCUAGUAAUCGUGGAUCAGCAUGUCACGGUGAAUACGUUCCCGGGUCUUGUACACACCGCUCGUCACACCAUGGGAGCGGGUUCCGCCAGAAGUAGGUAGCCUAACCGCAAGGGGGGCGCUUACCACGGCGGGGUUCGUGACUGGGGUGAAGUCGUAACAAGGUAGCCGUAGGGGAACCUGCGGCU
rnacentral:rRNA from 1 species